rnacentral:rRNA from 1 species
GACGAACGCUGGCGGCGCGCCUAACACAUGCAAGUCGAACGAGCGAGAGAGAGCUUGCUUUCUUGAGCGAGUGGCGAACGGGUGAGUAACGCGUGAGGAACCUGCCUUAAAGAGGGGGACAACAGUUGGAAACGACUGCUAAUACCGCAUAAGCCCACGGCUCGGCAUCGAGCAGAGGGAAAAGGAGCAAUCCGCUUUGAGAUGGCCUCGCGUCCGAUUAGCUAGUUGGUGAGGUAACGGCCCACCAAGGCGACGAUCGGUAGCCGGACUGAGAGGUUGAACGGCCACAUUGGGACUGAGACACGGCCCAGACUCCUACGGGAGGCAGCAGUGGGGAAUAUUGCACAAUGGGGGAAACCCUGAUGCAGCGACGCCGCGUGGAGGAAGAAGGUCUUCGGAUUGUAAACUCCUGUUGUUGAGGAAGAUAAUGACGGUACUCAACAGGGAAGUGACGGCUAACUACGUGCCAGCAGCCGCGGUAAAACGUAGGUCACAAGCGUUGUCCGGAA